GGGGUUGUGGCUCAGUGGUAGAGCACUUGCCUAGCAUGUGUGAGGUACUGGGUUCAAGUCUCAGCACUUCA
rfam:Ictidomys tridecemlineatus contig008063, whole genome shotgun sequence.